rnacentral:rRNA from 1 species
UACAGAGGUCUCGAGCGUUAUGCGGAAUCACUGGGCUUAAAGCGUGCGUAGGCGGAUCGUUAAGUGCCUUGUGAAAUCCCACGGCUCAACCGUGGAACUGCUUGGCAUACUGGCGGUCUUGAGCAACCUAGGGGCGAGCGGAACAAAUGGUGGAGCGGUGAAAUGCGUAGAUAUCAUUUGGAACGCCAAUGGUGAAAACAGCUCGCUGGGGGUUUGCUGACGCUGAGACACGAAAGCCAGGGGAGCAAACAGG